GUUCAGGUCACCGGCNCCAUGGCCGCGUGAUCAAAGUAUGAGCCUGGCUCACAACGAACGCUGGCGGCGUGGAUAAGAUGGCACGCUGAGCGAGAUUUUUUCUUGUAUCAAUACGAGGAAAAGUCUAGCGGCGAACGGGUGCUUAACACGUGGGCAACCUGCCGAGAAGUGGGGGAUAGCUCGCCCAAAGGCGAAUUAAUACCGCAUGUGAUUAGAGUGGACAUCCAUUCAAAAUCAAAGUCGGAGCAACCUGAUGCUUCUUGAGGGGCCCGCUGCUCUUCUGCUAGUUGGUGAGGUAGCGGAUGCACCACGCGUGGACCCGCAGAUAGAAAUGAUAUGAGGACUUCACGACGGGGGGGGGGGGCCCGGGUAUAAAACCAGGAGUCUAUACAGG
rnacentral:rRNA from 1 species